rnacentral:rRNA from 1 species
UGGGGAAUAUUGCACAAUGGGCGCAAGCCUGAUGCAGCAACGCCGCGUGAGGGAUGACGGCCUUCGGGUUGUAAACCUCUUUUAGUAGGGAAGAAGCGAAAGUGACGGUACCUGCAGAAAAAGCACCGGCUAACUACGUGCCAGCAGCCGCGGUAAUACGUAGGGUGCGAGCGUUGUCCGGAAUUAUUGGGCGUAAAGAGCCCGUAGGCGGUCUGUCGCGUCUGCUGUGAAAACCCGAGGCUCAACCUCGGGCCUGCAGUGGGUACGGGCAGACUAGAGUGCGGUAGGGGAGAAUGGAAUUCCUGGUGUAGCGGUGGAAUGCGCAGAUAUCAGGAGGAACACCGAUGGCGAAGGCAGUUCUCUGGGCCGUAACUGACGCUGAGGAGCGAAAGCGUGGGGAGCGAACAGGAUUAGAUACCCUGGUAGUCCACGCCGUAAACGUU